CUAGAACUAUACAGAUAUAAUGUGUGUUCUAAUUCUAGAAUGACAAAUAGAUAAUAUGUGUUUUAAUUCUAGAACUAUACAGAUAUAAUAUGUGUUCUAAUUCUAGAAUGACAAAUAUAUAAUAUGUGUUUUAAUUCUAGAACUAUACAGAUAUAAUGUGUGUCAUGACUUCCACCGAAGUGGUCUCCUCUCCUUGUUUGUUCGGUGAUCGACAUCACCGGCUUUCUAGCCAUCGCCGCUCCAUUUCUGAUAUUCCAUUGGUUUUGUCUUGUUCCAUUACACACCUGGUAUUCAUUCCAUAAUUACUGCAGGUAUUUAGUCCUCUGUUUCCCCUCCAUGUCUUUGUGUGUAUUGUUUGUUCGUGAUGAGGAUUAUUGUUGGGCGCUUUAUUUUUGCCAUGUUCCGUGUUUUUGGCACGUUAUUGUUUUUAUUUGCUGUAUUUGGUGAAAUGAAAGUGCGCCUGUUCACUACACUCUGCUCUCCUGCACCUGACUCCCGCCUCCCAUACACACCUUUGACAAUGUGUUCUAUUUCUAGAACCAUAAACAAAACAUGUGUUUUAAAUCUAGAACUGUACAGAUACAAUAUGUGUUUUAAUUCUAGAACUAUACAGAUAUAAUGUGUUUUCUUUUUAGAACUAUACUAUAUAAUAUGUGUUCUAAUUCUAGAACUACACAGAUAUAAUAUGUGUUCUAAUUCUAGAACAGUACAGAUAUAAUAUUUGUUCUAAUUCUAGACCCAUACAGAUAUAAUAUGUGUUUUAAUUCUAGAACUAUACAGAUAUAAUAUGUGUUUUAAUUCUAGAACCAUACAGAUAUAAUAUGUGUUCUAAUUCUAGAACUAUACUAUAAAUCAUGUGCUCUAAUUCUAGAAACAUACAAAUAUAAUAUGUGUUCUAAUUCUAGAACUAUACUAUAAAUGAUGUGCUCUGAUUCUAGAAACAUACAGAUAUAAUAUGUGUUUUAAUUCUAGAACUAUACAGAUAUAAUAUGUGUUUUAAUUCUAGAACUAUACAGAUAUAAUAUGUGUUCUAAUUCUAGAACUAUACAGAUAUAAUAUGUGUUUUAAUUCUAGAACUAUACAGAUAUAAUAUGUGUUCUAAUUCUAGAACUAUAUUAUAAAUGAUGUGCUCUAAUUCUAGAAACAUACAAAUAUAAUAUGUCUUUUAAUUCUAGAACCAUUCUAGAACCAUACAGAUAUAUUAUUAUGGAGGAGUGGGCCAAAAUCCCUGCUGCAGUGUGUGCAAACCUGGUCAAGAACUACAUGAAACGUAUGAUCUCUGUAAUUGAAAUAUUUAUGAAGAGGUCAUAAUUUCACAGAGUCUGUGAAGGAAGAAACCACAUGGAAAAAGUGGUAAGCAAGUUACGUUCAAAUAAAUAAUUUUGUGAACAAACUCUAGCACUUGAAUUUUUUCCCACUUGAGGGGCAUCAAUUAGCCAAGUGUUUAGAGUGUUGGGCCAGUAACCGAAAGUUUGCUAGAUCGAAUCCCUGAGCUGACAAGGUAAAAAUCUGUCGUUCUGCCCCUGAACAAAACCCACUGUUCCUCGGCUGUCAUUGUGUAUAACAAUUUGUUAUUAACUGACUUGCUAAGUUAAAUAAAGGUUAAAUAAAAAAUAAAAAUACUAGCUCUGACCUGGCUGAUAGCUACUUUAAUGAGGAAAACAUUUACUUACUAUGCCUGUGAUAUGUGGUUGUCCCACCAGCUAUUUUUGUAAUAUAUUUUAUUUUAUUUCACCUAUAUUUAACCAGGUAGGCUAGUUGAGAACAAGUUCUCAUUUACAACUGCGACCUGGCCAAGACAAAGCAAAGCAGUGUGACAUAGACAACAACACAGAGUUACACAUGGAAUAAACAAGCAUACAGUCAAUAAUACAGUACAAAAAUAAUUCUAUAUACAAUAUGAGCAAAUGAGGUGAGAUAAGGGAGGUAAAGGCAAAAAAAAGGCCAUGGUGGCAAAGUAAAUACAAUAUAGCAAGUAAAACACUGGAAUGGUAGAUUUGCAGUGGAAGAAUGUGCAAAGUAGAGAUAGAAAUAAUUGGGUGCAAAGAAGCGAAAUAAAUAAAUACAGUAAGGAAAGAGGUAGUUGUUUGGGCUUAAUUAUAGAUGGGCUAUGAACAGGUGCAGUAAUCUGUGAGCUGAUCUGACCGCUGGUGCUUAAAGCUAGUGAGGGAGAUAAGUGUUUCCAGUUUCAGCGAUUUUUGCAGUUCGUUCCAGUCAUUGGCAGCAGAGAACUGGAAGGAGAGGCGGCCAAAGGAGGAAUUGGCUUGACAGUGGUUACAUUUCUUCAGCCCUUUUUACCACAAGGGGUGUGGAGUUCCUUUGUUAUUGUUUCAACUACCUCUUUAAUGGGAUGCUUUCGACACCUUGGAGAGUCCGUGUGAAUUGAGGCUGUUCUGAGGGCAAUAUUUGGAAGAUUUUCCUAACGUUUGGUAUACUCUGUGUAUGUGUGAUAUGUUGUAUUCAUAGUUGCCUUUGUAUAGGGAGACUGGUACAUGUAGAGGUUAAAUGUGUUCCAUGGGUCUGGGAGAAAUACUUUAACUUUAAGGUCCAGUCAACCACCUACGUCUUCACAACAGAACUUUAAGAUCCAGUCAACCACCUACGUCUUCACAACAGAACUUUAAGGUCCAGUCAAUGUCCUAGGUCUUCAUAACAGAACUUUAAGGUCCUGCCAACGUCCUAGGUCUUCACAACAGAACUUUAAGGUCCAGUCAUCGUCCUAGGUCUUCACAACAGAACUUUAAGGUCCAGUCAACGUCCUAGGCCUAGCUGUAAAGUAUGGCACAUGAGAUUAGUAACUUUCCCAAAAUUCACAGGUUUUUCCAGAAAUCCUGGUUGGAAGAUUAUUCCUGCUUAUUCCCUCCUAAUUCCUAUAAUUUUACUAUCAGAAUUUCUGGAAAACCCAGGAAUUUUGGGAAAGUUACUGUGCAACUCUAGGGAGAAAUGAUGAUGAUGAAAAUAUACAUUCUGUUUAUAUUCUGUAUCUGCGUUAGAUCAGUUGUCUUGGUGUUAUUGAAACAUGUUGGCAUCUUUCCAUAGAUAUGUAUCUAUUCUGUAAGUGGACAGUAUAUGAAUAAAAUGGAACAAGUUU
ensembl:lncRNA